AAAACUCAUACAUCAUCCUCAGUAUUUUCUCCCACAAUUUUAACAUUGUAUUGUGCCCUCGCCACAACUGGCGACCCAUUCUUCCUCGCCAGAGGCUCAAAAAUGAAAAUAGUAUUUAUUUUUCUUAGCACCUCUAUCUCUUCGCUUUGUAAAUUUUGGCGCUCUCGAGUUCACGCCAUUUUUAGAAAAGAAUAAGUGGUCGAUUUGACCAGUGUAGGGAAGGAGUAUUUUGCACGGCAUAGAUUGAAGCCCACCGAUUCAGGAAUGGAUUCGCAAAUGUGUGGGGAUUAUAACUUCACACAACUCUUAGAAGAGGGGUCUAUCAUGAAUAAUGAAUUUGUGAUGGACUCUCCUCAAGAUUAAGUGCAUAACCAACAAUCUCCAGCUGAAAUUCAAAUGGGAUCCAUUAAUAAGAAAACACAACGGGGUGGUAAUUCAUUCUAUAAGAAGGCUGCCUCAUUGUGUCAGCAUGGCUCAUUUCCUCAUUAGAUGCAGUAAGGGAAUGAACAAAAACACGGAACAUAAUGGAAUAGAGUUUGGGAGUACUUCAAUAAAAAGAAGAAAUUUACAUCAACACGUAAUGCAAACUCUCUAAUGAAUCGUUGGUCAAAAAUUCAACUCCAAACUAAUAAGUUUGUUGGUAUCUUAGCUUCAA